CAAGUACUCCCUCCAUUCCAAAUUACUCGUUGCAGAAAUGGAUGUAUCUAGAAUUAAAAUACAUCUAGAUACAUCCAUACCCGCGACAAGUAAUUCGGAACGGAGGAAGUAUGUG
rnacentral:pre_miRNA from 1 species